rnacentral:rRNA from 1 species
CCUACGGGAGGCAGCAGUGAGGAAUAUUGGUCAAUGGACGAGAGUCUGAACCAGCCAAGUAGCGUGAAGGAUGACUGCCCUAUGGGUUGUAAACUUCUUUUAUAUGGGAAUAAAAUGUUCCACGUGUGGGAUUUUGUAUGUACCAUAUGAAUAAGGAUCGGCUAACUCCGUGCCAGCAGCCGCGGUAAUACGGAGGAUCCGAGCGUUAUCCGGAUUUAUUGGGGUUAAAGGGAGCGUAGGUGGAUUGUUAAGUCAGGUGUGAAAGUUUGCGGCUCAACCGUAAAAUUGCAGUUGAAACUGGCAGGCUGGAGUACAGUAGAGGUGGGCGGAAUUCGUGGUGUAGCGGUGAAAUGCUUAGAUAUCACGAAGAACUCCGAUUGCGAAGGCAGCUCACUGGACUGCAACUGACACUGAGGCUCGAAAGUGUGGGUAUCAAACAGGAUUAGAUACCCUAGUAGUC